GGGGGCGUACCGGUUUCGACGGGGACGCGGAAUCAGGUCAAGCGGGCGGAGGCGCACACCCUCCUAAAAAUGUGUAACUUAAAAACUAAACAACAACAACACUGUUGCUGUCGCGGCCUAAUUAGGCUGCCGUCUUUACCGGGAGCGCCGCGGCCCGGAUAAAGGCGUCGAUUAGCGGCGUCCGUGAGUACGCAAAGCUUUGAGCGUGCCAUGCAUCAUGAAGCUACCAAACCACGCAGUUUGACGGUUGACUGCGCGGGGCGGGAAUUCUGACAACCGUCUGCGCCCGGAGAAAGACUUGUGGAAGGGUUUUCGGACAGGGGUUCGACUCCCCUCGCCUCCACCA
rnacentral:tmRNA from 1 species